rnacentral:rRNA from 1 species
AACGUAGGUGGCGAGCGUUGUCCGGAUUUACUGGGCGUAAAGGGCGUGCAGGCGGUUUGUUAAGUGCAGGGUGAAAGCUCCCGGCUCAACUGGGAGAGGUCCUUGCAUACUGGCGAACUCGAGGGAGGCAGAGGAAAGUGGAAUUCCCGGUGUAGUGGUGAUAUGCGUAGAUAUCGGGAGGAACACCUGUGGCGAAGGCGGCUUUCUGGGCCUUACCUGACGCUGAGACGCGAAAGCGUGGGGAGCGAACCGG